GAUGAAGAACGCAGCGAAAUGCGAUAAGUAAUGUGAAUUGCAGAAUUCAGUGAAUCAUCGAAUCUUUGAACGCACAUUGCGCCCUCUGGUAUUCCGGGGGGCAUGCCUGUUCGAGCGUCAUUAUAACCACUCAAGCUCUCGCUUGGUAUUGGGGCUCGCGGUUCCGCGGCCCCUAAAAUCAGUGGCGGUGCCUGUCGGCUCUACGCGUAGUAAUACUCCUCGCGAUUGAGUCCGGUAGGUCUACUUGCCAGCAACCCCCAAUUUUUACAGGUUGACCUCGGAUAAGGUAGGGAUACCCGCUGAACUUAAGCAUAUCAUUAAGCGGAGGA
rnacentral:misc_RNA from 1 species